rnacentral:rRNA from 1 species
GAUGAACGCUGGCGGCGUGCCUAAUACAUGCAAGUCGAGCGAACGGACGAGAAGCUUGCUUCUCUGAUGUUAGCGGCGGACGGGUGAGUAACACGUGGAUAACCUACCUAUAAGACUGGGAUAACUUCGGGAAACCGUAGCUAAUACCGGAUAAUAUUUUGAACCGCAUGGUUCAAAAGUGAAAGACGGUCUUGCUGUCACUUAUAGAUGGAUGCGCGCUGCAUUAGCCAGUUGGUAAGGUAACGGCUUACCAAGGCAACGGCGCAUAGCCGGCCUGAGAGGGUAGACGGCCACAUUGGGACUGAGAUAGGGCACAGCGUCCUAGGGGCGGCAGCAGUGGGGAAUAUUGCACAAUGGGAGGAAGCCUGAUGCAGAAACGACGCGUGCGGGAUGACGGCCUUCGGGUUGUAAACAGAUUUCGCCUGUGACGAAGAGUGAGUGACGGUAAUGGGUAAAGAAGCACCGGCUAACUACGUG